AUGCAUAUUUAAUGUGACGUCACCCACACAGAGUGAGAGCUCGAAGUUUUCUUUGAAAGUUUGAUGGAAAAUGUACAGAGACACUUGUUGCAGUUAAUGCAUGCAGUACCAAAUGCUUGCUUUCUUGGAGUAUGUGCUUGAAACAAGAAUGUCCUGGAGAAAACAGACCACCACAAGAGAAGACAUACAUGUACAGUAUGGACUAUGAAGUUCUACUUAGCCUCUUCAAUGAACUGCUGGAGCUGCGACUGGGUAUCAAAACCUUGGUAUUAUAAACUUCAUAACCAGUGGCGGAGAUAUGUUGUUAGCCAGGGGGGAGGGGUCAGUGCCCCCCCCCUCCCACUUUUUCAAGUACCCCCAGUAUGCCCCUUUUAUGGCCUUUUCACAUAGGUAAAGUGCCAUUACUUUGACAAGUUCCCCUAUUAAUUUGUAAAAUUGCCCCUUCCCCAUUUCACCUCUGAUAAGUGCCCCUUAUCCU